rnacentral:lncRNA from 1 species
AUGGAGAAUCUGAGCUGCCAUAAGGUAUACAUUCUCCACGAUUUGGAAAGAGUUUCUCUCCCUGGGACAAAUGAGCACCAUCAGAGAUCAUUUAUGCAGAGCAAGCACUUUUGUGCCUCCACAUUAUCGAACGGCAGAAAAAAAAAUUUCACAAAGCCCAAGAAAGGGCCUCAAAGAAACUGUCAAGUACACAAAGCUGAGCAAAACCUCUCUUCUCACCGCCACAAUCGUGCCUGGCUUUUAAAAUUCUAAUUAAGAGAAAACGAAGACGGCGAACUCACUGAAGGCAAGAACAGAGGCCCGGCUGUAAUUCCACCCGCUCCCCACCACCCUCAAGCACUGAACCCAGAGCUUGUACACAGUAGGAGCUAAGUAAAUACUGAUGAAAUUGAGUUGAGCCGGCCCAGAGCAGAGGGAGCAGGAAAGGGAGGAGGGAGCUGGAGCCCAGGGCUCCUGCCGUCACCGCCUUCAGGCUGCGGGGAAAGUCGAAUGAAAAGCCUGCCAGACCUCUAACGAGUGCUCCACCGCCAGCAGGCUGCAAUUGCUCAUUGUGUUUGGUUAUAAUUAGCAGCAUAUUCUGCGAUGGCAAAGCAGGCAGCGAGCAGGAGCAGGGCUGGGAACAGGCUGCCACCCUCGCAGCCAUCGGUCCGGGGGCCUGGGCUGCAGAAUUUGAGCUCCUUCACUUCCUGCCCCUGCCUGCCCUGGAUCCAGUCUGGGCGUGGGCUGGCAGACCUCGAUCGGUGAUGCUGGGCCAACACCAGACCCCAAAGAGGAACUGUUUACUGUGAGAGCAUGAGAGCAUGAGAGCAUGGGCUGAAAAAUUGGGCUCACCUGGGGUUAAGACCAAGUUUUGUUUGCAAUGUACAAACAAUGUGUCCACAGGCACGUGAGUCUCAGUUUCCCCAUCUAUAAAAUGGGUCAGUAAUAAAAAUACUAGUACUCCUCUUUCUUAUGGUGUGUGGUGAGACUUGAAACGGACAACUCAUCUAAGGCACUUGGCAGAAGGCCCUGUGUGCUGUUGGCACUCAGUGUCUUGCAGCUGCUAUUGCAAAAGUGACAGAAGUGGCUUCUACUCUGGCCCUUUCCUCUCCCCUCUCUGCAAUGUUUAUCUCACCCCUGCACAGGUGCUCAGCAGCCUGCAACUUCUUUCUCCACACCUAUGGAACCAGCUCUCAGGGAAGGGUCUGCCUUAGCAGUGUCAGUUCAGUGUAAACAGAGGGAACUGCGUGACUUCUCUUAGGGGAGUGGCCUCAAAUUUUUUAAACUGUGAUCCACAGGACAAAAUACAUUUUACACAGUGACCAAGGGCACACAUACCUAUCAGUAAAUAAAACAGAAACGUAAGUUUCAUGAAACCACACUUACACAAACCAAGUGCAAUGCAUUCUGAUG